rnacentral:lncRNA from 1 species
UUUUCUUCUUUCAGUAAUUUAUUUGGUGAUCAAAUAAAAAGAACUGAAUAGUCUAUUUAAAAUUCAUAUACUACCACAGGAGGUGAUAUUUUGAAAAGCUAUAUAAAUGAUUAGAUCAAUAAACUUGAAUUUUAUAUCAUUUUUAUAAAUUCUAAAUAUAAUAUGAAAAUUUGAUACUCUCUCAAAUCCUUCCAAUAAGCCAAUUUUAUCCAUAUUUCCUUUUUAUUAAAAGAUGAGCAUUCCUACAAACUAAUCUUAUCCUCAUGUGUUAUUAACCAAAAUGUCAUUUUAUUCGUGUCAUUACAAGAAUUCUUCUCGCACUUUUAACUAAUAACCCUAUUUUCACCGGCAUAAUUAUAUGUAUUGCCAUUGUUAUAGACCAACGUUAGGAGACAUUUGUAAUCGUUAGAUGCCUCAACGAUUCUUUAUCAUGGUUAUGUUUCUAAAACAUGUUUACAAUGUCUACAUAAGCCGCACAUAUAUAAACUAAAUUAUAUAGUUAUAUAAAUAUAUACAAAAUAAUUAUAGUAUAUAGUUGAUAUGGUCGUACUGUGUGUCAAAAAAAAUAAUUAUAUUAUGUAUAUAACUAUAUACAAAAUAAUUAUAUUAUAUAAUGCUAUGGUCGCCGCUCUUCUUCUCCGACUAGAAGCAAAAACAAAAAAAAAAAAGAAAAAAAAAAAUUCUGAAACAUGGCAAGGAUUCACCAGCUUAGUCCAAUUGCAUCGUAACCUUCCCCCUCCAAUAACCAUAGAUACUAAAAAAUUUCAUGUUUUUCUCCAGAUGUGUAAAACGGUGACAAGCUUCUGAGAAGAAUUUUUGAAAAAAACUUCGUUAAAACACUUUUCUAUAUGAAAAGCUUCAACUCUACUGAGUCUUCCAAAAUUCUCUUGCUAAAUCAAAUAACUCAAGGACCAGAUCUGAUAAGAUACUCUGCCCAAAGGCCAACCAGCCAAUUUUAUCAGAAGAUAAAGAUUGAUUCUUUUCAAAUUCCGGCCCCGAGAAUAACCAGAGAAAAAACAAUCCUUUCUCAAUAUCAAACGGGAUUUAAAAACUAAGAACCAGAGGACAAGGUGAAGAUAGAUAGAUAGAUUAUUAAUCAAUCCCAAAUCAAAGAAAGAUAGAACAUGAAGAUCCACUUUGAAAUUGAGAUUGAGACACUCCAAAAUCCCCAAGGGAAGAGAAAUCCGCUAACAGGAAAAACAAGAUCAAUCUAGAGAUCGAAACGAAAGGUCCGCUAACGGAAUAAAAAGAUCGAUCAAAGAUCGAUCAAAGAUCGAAUAUAAUACAAACAAAAAAGCCUCUAAUUAAUCUCUCCCCCCUCUGAAUGAUUUUUGAUGGGUAAGAGGUGCAGAG